AAGAGAUGUAUAAACAGUUAAAACUGCUAA
rnacentral:tRNA from 1 species